rnacentral:rRNA from 1 species
GGGUCGGUAGGUUGGUCGUGCCACCGGUACGUACUGGUCUCACUGAUUCCUCCUUCCUGAAGAACCGUAAUGCCAUUAAUUUGGUGUUGCGGGGAAACAGGACUGUUACUUUGAAAAAAUUAGAGUGUUUAAAGCAAUCUAACGCUUGGACACAUUAGCAUGGAAUAAUGAAAUAGGACGAUCGAUCCUAUUUUGUUGGUUUCUAGGAUUGACGUA